rnacentral:tRNA from 1 species
CGGGCUGUGGAAAGGAAAGCGUCUUGCCGCCGACAGCGGCACGAACCUCUGGCUCAGUGCCAGGCGGCCCGC